rnacentral:rRNA from 1 species
ACGCUGGCGGCGUGCUUAACACAUGCAAGUCGAACGGAAAGGCCCUGCUUUUGUGGGGUGCUCGAGUGGCGAACGGGUGAGUAACACGUGAGUAACCUGCCCUUGACUUUGGGAUAACUUCAGGAAACUGGGGCUAAUACCGGAUAGGAGCUCCUGCUGCAUGGUGGGGGUUGGAAAGUUUCGGCGGUUGGGGAUGGACUCGCGGCUUAUCAGCUUGUUGGUGGGGUAGUGGCUUACCAAGGCUUUGACGGGUAGCCGGCCUGAGAGGGUGACCGGCCACAUUGGGACUGAGAUACGGCCCAGACUCCUACGGGAGGCAGCAGUGGGGAAUAUUGCACAAUGGGCGGAAGACUGAUGCAGCAACGCCGCGUGCGGGAUGACGGCCUUCGGGUUGUAAACCGCUUUCGCCUGUGACGAAGCGUGAGUGACGGUAAUGGGUAAAGAAGCACCGGCUAACUACGUG